AGAGUUUGAUCAUGGCUCAGAACGAACGCUGGCGGCGUGCCUAACACAUGCAAGUCGAGCGCGAAUGGAGCAAUCCUAGUAGAGCGGCGCACGGGUGCGUAACACGUGGAUAAUCUGCCUGGGUGUCUGGGAUAACCAGUCGAAAGACUGGCUAAUACCGGAUAAGCCCCCGGGAGCUUCGGCUCUUGAGGGAAAAGGUGGCCUCUGUAUACAAGCUAUCACAUCCAGAUGAGUCCGCGGCCCAUCAGCUAGUUGGCGGGGUAAUGGCCCACCAAGGCAACGACGGGUAGCUGGUCUGAGAGGACGAUCAGCCACACUGGAACUGAGACACGGUCCAGACUCCUACGGGAGGCAGCAGUGGGGAAUUUUGCGCAAUGGGCGAAAGCCUGACGCAGCAACGCCGCGUGUGUGAUGAAGGUCUUCGGAUUGUAAAGCACUUUCGACCGGGACGAAAACCCUGAGGCUAACAUCCUCAGGCUUGACGGUACCGGGAGAAGAAGCACCGGCUAACUCUGUGCCAGCAGCCGCGGUAAUACAGAGGGUGCAAGCGUUGUUCGGAAUUAUUGGGCGUAAAGCGCGUGUAGGCGGCUUUGCAAGUCGGGUGUGAAAGCCCUCAGCUCAACUGAGGAAGUGCGCCCGAAACUGCAGAGCUUGAGUGCCGGAGAGGGUGGCGGAAUUCCCCAAGUAGAGGUGAAAUUCGUAGAUAUGGGGAGGAACACCGGUGGCGAAGGCGGCCACCUGGACGGUAACUGACGCUGAGACGCGAAAGCGUGGGGAGCAAACAGGAUUAGAUACCCCAGUAGUCC
rnacentral:rRNA from 1 species